UACGUAGGGUCCGAGCAUUGUCCGGAAUUAUUGGGCGUAAAGAGCUCGUAGGCGGUUUGUCGCGUCUGCUGUGAAAUCCCGAGGCUCAACCUCGGGCCUGCAGUGGGUACGGGCAGACUUGAGUGGUGUAGGGGAGACUGGAAUUCCUGGUGUAGCGGUGGAAUGCGCAGAUAUCAGGAGGAACACCGAUGGCGAAGGCAGGUCUCUGGGCACUUACUGACGCUGAGGAGCGAAAGCGUGGGGAGCGAACAGG
rnacentral:rRNA from 1 species